rfam:Triticum urartu cultivar G1812 contig1246984, whole genome shotgun sequence.
GUACUACUCCCUCUGUUCCGAAUUACUUGUCUUGGAUUUGUCUAGAUAUGGAUGUAUCUAGACUCAUUUUAGUGCUAGAUAAAGACAACUCUAAGACAAGUAAUUCGGAACAGAGGGAGUAGUAA